UACGGGGGUGCGAGCGUUGUCCGGAAUCACUGGGCGUAAAGGGCGCGUAGGUGGUUGUGAUAAGGGUGUGGUGAAAGCCCGGGGCUCAACCCCCGGGUCUGCCGUGCCGACUGUCAAACUCGAGGGCUGUAGAGGCAGGACGGAAUUCCGGGUGUAGCGGUGGGAAUGACGUAGAGAUCCGGAGGAAGACCGGUGGCGAAGGCGGUCUGCUGGGCAGUUCUGACACUGAUGCGCGACAGCGUGGG
rnacentral:rRNA from 1 species